UACGUAGGGUGCGAGCGUUGUCCGGAAUUAUUGGGCGUAAAGAGCUUGUAGGCGGUCUGUCGCGUCUGCUGUGAAAAUCCGGGGCUCAACCCCGGACUUGCAGUGGGUACGGGCAGACUAGAGUUCGGUAGGGGAGACUGGAAUUCCUGGUGUAGCGGUGAAAUGCGCAGAUAUCAGGAGGAACACCGAUGGCGAAGGCAGGUCUCUGGGCCGAUACUGACGCUGAGGAGCGAAAGCGUGGGGAGCGAACAGG
rnacentral:rRNA from 1 species